CCUGUGGGGACGCAUGUGGAAAGCAUAAGCCGGGAAUGGAAAUACCGGUACAAACGGAAGAGGUGUCAGGCUGGCAAAUCCGCCUGGCAAGCCAAAGACGUGAUGUGGAGCGAAAUAAAAGUAGCGAAGUAUGUGAGCCAUGAGCCGAGAAAAGCCGCUAUUGUUUUAUAUGUGCCCGUACCGUAAACCGACACAGGUGGAUGAGGAGAGAAUCCUAAGGCCGACGGAAGAAGCAUUGUUAAGGAACUCGGCAAAAUGACCCCGUAACUUCGGGAGAAGGGGUGCCCACUUCAGGGUGGGCCGCAGAGAAUAGGCUCAAGCAACUGUUUAGCAAAAACACAGGUCUAUGCGAAACCGUAAGGUGAAGUAUAUGGGCUGACGCCUGCCCGGUGCUGGAAGGUUAAGAGGAGAGGUUAGUCGCAAGAUGAAGCUUUGAAUUUAAGCCCCAGUAAACGGCGGCCGUAACGAUAACGGUCCUAAGGUAGCGAAAUUCCUUGUCGGGUAAGUUCCGACCCGCACGAAAGGCGUAAUGAUUUGAGCACUGUCUCGACAAUGCAUCCGGUGAAAUUGAAGUACCAGUGAAGAUGCUGGUUACCCGCGCCAGGACGGAAAGACCCCAUGGAGCUUUACUCCAGUUUGGUACUGGGAUUCGGUACAGCAUGUACAGGAUAGGUGGGAGACUGAGAAAUUGGAACGCCAGUUUCAAUGGAGUCACUGUUGGGAUACCACCCCUGCAGUAUUGGGUUUCUAACCAGCCGCUGUGAUCCAGCGGUGGGACAAUGCCAGGCGGGGAGUUUGACUGGGGCGGUCGCCUCCGAAAGGGUAUCGGAGGCGCUCAAAGGUUCCCUCAGAAUGGUCGGAAACCAUUUGAAGAGUGCAAAGGCAGAAGGGAGCUUGACUGCGACACCGACGGGUGGAGCAGGUACGAAAGUAGGACUUAGUGAUCCGGUGGCAUAAAGUGGGAUUGCCAUCGCUCAACGGAUAAAAGCUACCCUGGGAUAACAGGCUUAUCACUCCCAAGGGUUCACAUCGACGGAGUGGUUUGGCACCUCGAUGUCGGCUCAUCGCAUCCUGGGGCUGUAGCAGGUCCCAAGGGUUGGGCUGUUCGCCCAUUAAAGCGGUACGCGAGCUGGGUUCAGAACGUCGUGAGACAGUUCGGUCCCUAUCCGGCGCGGGCGGAGGAUAUUUGAGAGGAGCUGUCCUUAGUACGAGAGGACCGGGAUGGACGGACCACUGGUGUAUCUGCUGUCGACCAACGGCAUGGCAGAGUAGCCAAGUCCGGAAGGGAUAAACGCUGAAGGCAUCUAAGCGUGAAGCCCCCCUCAAGAUGAGAUAUCCCUUCCAUAAGGAAGUAAGAUCCCUUGAAGAGUACAAGGUAGAUAGGGCAGAGGUGGAAGCACGGUAACGUGUGGAGCUGACUGUUACUAAUCGAUCGAGGGCUUGAUCAA
rnacentral:rRNA from 1 species